CACAGGAUCGUGGCUUUGGAGAAUUCAUGGACUUUGACUUCCUCGACGGGGUUGAGUCGUUCCUGUUCGACGAUGCUAGUUCUCCAUUUGACCCGAACACUGUGAAGGAGCAAGAAAUUCUCAACACAGAAGUACCCGUCGCAAAUCCACCGGUGCAAAACGAACAAGAGAAUCCCAUAUCCGCUGAUAUGGAGUUCGAUGAAAACGCUUUCGUGGCCUCCUUGCUUGACGACUACUGAAGUGUGCUUGGGAGGACAAGUAUAUUGUGCCUUGGAACUUUUAUCAGACUAUGGAAAAACCUUUGUUUUUUUAAAUUUUUAUUUUGAUGUUGCUAUGUGUGUGGAGGGUGGCUUGUGAACUCCAUUUAGUUCGUCCGGUUGUGUUUCAUGUUGGGAGUUUGCUGUUGUAACAGCUCCAAUUAGACUCUUUUCCUUUGAAUAAAGAAGUCAUGUUUUUCAAAGCUUAA